rnacentral:lncRNA from 1 species
ACAACACAUGAAAAAUCAAUGGAGCUGAUUGAAUUAACAAAGCUUAGCUGUUUGCUAUGUACAUGCACUCUACAAUCUAAGGCGAUAUUUGUUUCUAGAAAUGUGGUUACAAACAAAAGUGCUUCCCACAACUAAGGUAGUUUAGUAACAUCGACAAUGUAAGUUGAACUACAAAAAGGCAAUAUACAGAAAAAUCACAAUAUUUCGGCCAAUUUUUUGCAGUUUAACAACUCCAUUUCAGUUUUAGCUCAUCAAACCUACCCAAGUUUGAAAUUUCUUUCUAUAUUGACAAAUUUGACCUACUAUAGCAGGUUAAAGUGGUCAUAAUUGAAAAGGUUGUCAAAGUUUAGUCCACUUAAUUUCACUAAAGCCACUCAACUUUGACAAAAUUUUCUAUAGUGACCACUUUAACCUGCUAUAGCAGGUCAAAGUGGUCAGCAUAGAACAUUUCUCCAAACUUGGGUGGAUUUCAUAAGGNAAGUUUGAAAUUUCUUUCUAUAUUGACAAAUUUGACCUACUAUAGCAGGUUAAAGUGGUCAUAAUUGAAAAGGUUGUCAAAGUUUAGUCCACUUAAUUUCACUAAAGCCACUCAACUUUGACAAAAUUUUCUAUAGUGACCACUUUAACCUGCUAUAGCAGGUCAAAGUGGUCAGCAUAAGGCAAGCUGAAGUAGAGUGCCAUGAUUUAUGAAGAGAAAAUAAAUGCCAUUGGACUUUUCACAAAUUCCAGGUCACCACUGGCAUGACACCUCAGCAGAAACUUUUAUGAGGUUCUGGUGGUGACAGACAGAAUCAACAACAUGAAGAGAGUGGAAGGAUCAUAAGAAGCAUACUUCUGAAAGACACAGAAUCAGCAUAAACAUAGAAGACCACCUAGGCCAAAAAAUCUGGGCCUACAUGUGAAAGAUUCAAAUGGUUUACAAGACAAAGUUCAUGUUGGAUUUUAUGGUGAAAAAAUGAAUUAAGAGAAAUCAGAUCGUGGUGUUUGGACUCCACUCCGUUAAGGAAGAAGGUUUGUCAAAUGACCAAAAUACCCUUGUUAUAUAUAUAGCCAAAUAACUAAAAACAAGAAAUCAGUUGUAUGCUAUGCUUUAUGUUGUUGGCAAGAGAGAACAAGUAGAUGGUGGAUGAAAGAAAAGGUAUACUAAAUCAAUCAUAAAAGUGGCCUUAAUUAUAUAGGCUUACAGGAGAUUUUGAACAGCUACAAAAAAGAAAAUAGAAACAAGAAAAAACAAAACUGCCAGGGUGCUAAUUAACACAAUUAAUUAGCAUUUAUUCAAAUUAAAACUUGAAAAUGAACAGACUUUGAUUAGCAAUUAAUCAACAUAUAUAUUUCAGGCGUGUCUGCUGGAACACGUGUAUAAACACAUACAAGCAUGAUAAAAACCGUAAAAUAUACAGAAUAUUGUAACUCUGAACUUUACUUGUCUGUAUUGAAGAAUGGAUAAAUGCAAGAAAUAGCAACGCAUUUCCAUUUAUUAUUUUAUUAAAGCAUCCUACUUUCAUUUCUUUCUAUUACAGCAACAGAAAUCCUUUGUAUUUAGAUGACACUGCUAUAAUUGGGUGGGUUUCUUAAAGUAGAAUGCUUUAAUAGGAAAAAGUGAAAGUAAGAUGAUCUGAUAAGCAAAUCGAUAAAAAAAAUUGCUACUUUCAUAUAGGUACUUUUAAAAUCCACCCAUUUAUAGCAUUUUACUUUCAACUUUUCUUUUCAGGCCAUUGUAGCCACAUAUUAUUAGGUAUAUUUUUCAAAGUAUGAUGCUAUAACUGGAAUAAAUGAAAGUAGGAUUUUAUAAUAAGAAAAUAAAGGAAAGUAUGUUGAACAAAAAAAAUGACUAAAAUAUACCCAAUUCAAAAUUAGUAUAGUGCCAUGAUUUAUGAAGAGAAAACAAAUAUCAUUGGACUCUAUAUAUAACCCAUUACCCCCUCAAUGUGAGAAAACGAAAACAUAACAUUACUUCUAAAUUUAUUAUUCAGAAAUGAGUUUGCAAUCAAUAUGCUUAUAUUUCCGUACUUCCACUGAUUACAUGCAUCAUCUUCUUCAUGUUAAUUUAUUAUACAUCUAUGAAUUUUCAUUAUUUGUAUAGUGUAAAAUCUAUCUUAAUUCUAAUAUUCUAAAUAGAUCGAAAGCAUGCUUAGAACAAAGAUUUUUUCAAGGGAGUCCUUUUCAGUAAAGACUUGGUUAAUUAUACUUGAUAAAUUAAGAUCUAGAGAUAUUUCCAAAAUUGACACUCUUGACAUUUGACUCUGAUAGUUCAAUGUCAUAAAGUUAGUUAAUAUUUUAAAUAUGACACUUUUCUGGUACAAUAGAAGUUGUAAACAGGAGCCUUUUGCCACAUAUUGUAUUUAUAUAUUUUCAGUUGGCACACGAGAUACAGUUAUGUAAAGUUUCAUAUUCUUUUGUUUGAUGUCAGCAAAAAAAAUAUUUCUUUUAAACAGCAAACCAAAUUUUAUUAAGCCAAACUAGCGCAUGCUAGGAAACAAAAAAAAAUGCAUCAAUAAAAUCAUUUUUGUUCUAUUUUUCAUGACUUAUAUACAUCAAUCAAUCAAUUUUUUUCUCUUCCUCACAAUCCGGUCUUAUCAUAAAUCAAUUUAAUGACCUACGCAAAUGAAAAAACUAUUAAAUAUUAUGCAUGCAGUUAUUCAUUUUUGUCUUUCCAGCUUCAGAAGUAUUAGCUAAUGGAAUUAUAUCACACAACUAAUGGAGAAGAGAAUAUUAAAAAAAGAAAUAAAACAAAUAAUUGAAUACAUAAAGGUGCUAAUUAACACAACUAAUUAGCAUUCAUUCAAAUUAAAACUUGAAAAUGAACAGACUUUGAUUAGCAAUUAAUCAAGAUAUAUUUCUGGUGCAGAAUCAAAGUAUGACACAGGAAGUGGACAUGGUGGUCAUUAUAAUGGUUAGUCUCAACUUCAAAACUAAAAAAGACAAUGAAUAUGAGAUAUAAACAAAUGCAAGCAUGAUAUAAACCAUAAAAUAUACAAAUAUUUCACCUAGAUUUAUAGCUAUGAAAUUUACUUGUCUGUACAAAAGAAGGGCUAAAUGCAAGAAAUAGAAACACAUUUCCAUUUAUUCGUUUGUUAUAGCAUCCUACUUUCAUUUCUUUCUAUUGCAGAAAUAGAAAUCCUUUGUAUUUGGAUGACAUUGCUAGAAUUGGGUGGGUUUCUGAAAGUACAAUGCUUUAAUAGGAAAAAAUGAAAGUAGGAUGCUCUUAGUUAUAAGCAAAUAAAUGAAAGUAAAUUGCUAUUUCUAUCAUUUUAGCCUUUAAUAAAUGACACAAGACCACCAUAUUGGUGCUAUAAUUGGUAUAUUUUUCAAAAAAAAAAAAUGCAUCAACAAAAAAGACAUCAAUAAAAUCAUUUUUGUUCCAUUUUUCAAAUUACCUAAUAAAAAAUCAAGAAUAAUGUUGAUAUGGCUUAUAUGCAUCUAUCAAUUAAUUUUUUUUCUCUCCCUCACAAUCCGGUUUGAGUCCACCAUCCAUUUUAGUUAAUUUAACUAAAUUAAACUGGAUACAAAACAUUUUAAAUGAUUUAUAACCAUGCUUAUCAUAAAUAACUUUGUGACCUAUGCAACCGAAUAAAAUUUAAAAAAAAAAAAAAAAACAAAAAAAAAAUAGGUAUGUAG